ensembl:lncRNA
ACCAGAUCGAGGUAGUGACCGUGAGGGACAGGUGGAGAACCUUCUGGGCGGGCACGUAGGGACGUUGGCACGGUCUCUGAGUCAGACGGGAACUAUUGGAAGGCACGGGAGAGACCUGAACAAACUGGACAUUUUAGGGGUCUGUCCAGCUGCUGCGUGGAGAACUGUAAACUGUCCCCACACAGGCCUAUUUUACAGAUGGGACUGAACCUGUUUGUGUGUGGUCUGCCACUGAGCCUCACUCCCAGUCUCCACGCUGCAGAGGAGAAACGGACAUCGCCAAUGUGUCCGAGGUCACACAGCUCCUAGGACAUUGGUGACCCUGACAAAGUCAGAACUAUAGCAGGACCGGAGGCCAGACACAGAACCUGGAGAAUGAAAGAAGCUACAGAAAGAAGCUGGCUGGUGGCACAGUCUUGGGGAAGCUUGGUGAGAUGGCACAAAAAAAUUUGGAAGGCUAAUCAAGAAGCAUCCAGGAGGACUUGCUGCGUCUUUACAGGUUACAAGAAUGUUGUGGAAUCGAUAGGCAGAAGGUUUGGGGGAGCCAAAGCAGGAAGUGACAACAAUUAGCCCUCACUAGCACUCACUAUGAGCCAGGCCAGUGUCAUGCUGUCUCUGUGGCUUUUCUCAUCCCUUCCUUCCAUCUGCUCCCCGUGGGAAGGCCAAAACAGCCCUGAGCUUAAAGUCUCCGAACACAUGGUUAGGUGAUCCUAUCGUACUGUGGCUUCUUCUUUUCUAAAAUUUAUUUAUUUUUACUUUUAUGUGCAGUGGUGUUUUGCCAUGGAUGUCGGCACCCACAUGGCAGCUAGCAUCUGACUAUAGCUCCAGUUCCAAGGCAUCUGGCACCCUUACACAGACAUACUUGUAGGAAAAACACCAAUGCAUACAAUAAAUAAAUAAAGUUACAUAAAAAAAAAAACACCUUGCACAUAGAAUUCUCAGGUGCUUCACAAAAUGUCCCUGGAUCCUGGCUUCUGGAAUUUAAACCUUAGCCUGCCUUUUAGCCAGGGCAAGCGCCAUAACCUUUCAUUGUUCCUCAGCACAAGGCACUGUAGCAAAACUACCCUGUGGGCUGUUUGAGGAUUAAACGAAACAUUACUUGGGAGCUGCACAAACACGCCAGAGUGUCCUAUAAAUACCUGCGAUUGCUGCUGCUGUCCCACGUAAUCCUGCCCACCAGGGAAGAUUGUAUCUCCAUUCUACAGGAAGCUAAGGCUUGGCAUGGUUGAUAACCGUCCUAGUAGCGUGGCUGGUGUGGGGUGUCGGCCGCAGCAUCUCCAGGAACGCUUCCUCCACCCUCCCCACCCACCCACUGUUCUGCAACAUGAAGGAGCAUAGUAGAAAUGAAGAAAAUGUCUUCGGUUUUAGAAUUGACCCAGUUGGAAUGAUAAAUUGCAUAUUCAGCCUACUUAGAGGAGGAGGAAAUGUAGACAAAAAUACCACAGAAAGGACAAGUAGGAACUGGUCCACUUGGACCAGGUGUGGCACUGAUGAGCUUGAGAAGAGUGGAAAAGAGAAUGAGAUGUGUCUAACCUUUGGAUGUUGGAACAUCACGUUGUCUACGGAACUCAUGCUCAGAAACCACAUAACCAAGUCUCAUGUCCUCCCCGUCAUACUUUAAGUUCAUGAUUUUGUGUUCAGCUGCAACCGCAGCUGCCUUGCUGGGCACAGCUCACUGGGUCACGCUGAAGUCUGAACAAACGGUGAUAGAGGUAAGAAACGUGCCCGAGUCUUCACGGAAGCCCAGCUGGAGCCAAUGGAGAGGGCGACUCCGGGAGUAUCACAGCUUCCUAGCUCCAUUCAGGGUGGAAGGGAUUUUGAGUGUAUCCAGACUGGACGAGAAGAAAGCCACCAGAUAGAGACACUGACAGACAAUGGGGAACCCUGUGAUGAAUCAAGGUCUUUGGAGAGUCAGGAAGGAGAGCAACAUUCCAGACAGAAGGAGAAGAGCCUAGAAAUGAUGCUGACAAUUUAGGAAAAGUUACCAUAAAUUAAUCAGUUGGUGGGUUUCUGGUGACAGAG